AAGGAAUAUUGGUCAAUGGACGCAAGUCUGAACCAGCCAUGCCGCGUGAAGGAUGAAGGUCCUCUGGAUUGUAAACUUCUUUUAUCUGGGACGAAAACGGGAUUUUUAUCUCAAUUGACGGUACCAGAGGAAUAAGCACCGGCUAACUCCGUGCCAGCAGCCGCGGUAAUACGGAGGGUGCGAGCGUUAUCCGGAUUUACUGGGUUUAAAGGGUGCGUAGGUGGGCUUAUAAGUCAGUGGUGAAAUCUCCGAGCUUAACUUGGAAACUGCCGUUGAUACUAUAUGUCUUGAAUUAUCUGGAGGUAAGCGGAAUAUGUCAUGUAGCGGUGAAAUGCUUAGAUAUGACAUAGAACACCAAUUGCGAAGGCAGCUUACUACAUAUAAAUUGACGCUGAGGCACGAAAGCGUGGGGAUCAAACA
rnacentral:rRNA from 1 species